AUGCUUGCUUUGGCAGCAUACAUACUAAAAUUGGAACAGUACAAAGAUUAGCUUGGCUCCUGCACAAGGAUGACAAACAAAUUUGUGAAGUGUUCCAUAUUUUU